rnacentral:rRNA from 1 species
GACGAACGCUGGCGGCGUGGAUUAGGCAUGCAAGUCGAACGGUAGGAUACCUUCGGGUAUCUGAGAGUGGCGAACGGGUGAGUAACACGUAGGUGAUCUACCCUCAAGAUUGGGACAACCCAGGGAAACUUGGGCUAAUACCGGAUGAAAGCAGCAGUGAUGUUGUUUGAAAGGUGGCGUAAGCUGCCGUUUGGGGAUGAGCCUGCGUCCUAUUAGUUAGUUGGCGGGGUAAAGGCCCACCAAGGCGAUGAUAGAUAGGCGGCCUUAACGGGUGGUCGCCCACACUGGGAUUGAGAUACGGCCCAGACUCCUACGGGAGGCAGCAGUCGAGAAUAGUCUACAAUGGCCGAAAGGCUGAUAGUGCGACGCCGCGUGAACGAAGAAGCCCUUCGGGGUGUAAAGUUCUUUUAUAUGUGAGCAGUGCUUUCUAUGUGAACAGCAUGGGGAAGAGAUAUUAGCAUAUGAAUAAGCAACGGCUAACCGUCGUCGCAGCAC